CAAGUAAACCGGGUGGCCGCCCCGGUGAACCCCGGUUCGUUCGGGGUGAAACCGGGGAGGAAAGUCCGAGCUCCCCCAGGCAGGGCGCUGGGUAAUACCCAGGAGGGGCGACCCUACGGAAAGUGCCACAGAAACAUACCGCCCCGGCUUCAGUCGGGGCAAGGGUGAAAUGGUGAGGUAAGGGCUCACCGGCGGUCAGGUGACUGGCCGGCCGUGUAAACCCCGUCCGGAGCAAGACCAAAUAGAGGGAAUCAGGGACGCCUGGCCCUUUCCCCGGGUUGGUCGCUUGACCCCGAUGGUAACAUCGGGGCUAGAGAGAUGGUCACCAUCCCGAUUUUAUCGGGACACAGAACUCGGCUUACAGGUUUACUUGGCUC
rnacentral:RNase_P_RNA from 2 species